AACUUUCAUCUAUAUUUCUGCCUAAGGACCUAUCUUAAUGUCUUAGAAAGAGUUCUUUGCCUUCUUUAGCAAAAGGACCCAAAUUAGGUCGGUGGGAGACUGGGAGCUGAUCUUAUGGUCUUUGCUUUGAUAUCCAUGCGAAGGAAAAUUAAGAAUCUUAGAACUUAUCAUUUCAUUUAAAAGAUCUCAUUAACUUAUUAGGAGAUUAAGAUUAUAAUUGCCUUUUCUGUAGAGAA
rnacentral:misc_RNA from 1 species